GCCAAGAUGGCCGAGCGGUCUAAGGCUCCAGUUUCAGGUACUACUGGUCCGAAAGGGCGUGAGUUUUAAUCCCACUCUUGACA
rnacentral:tRNA from 1 species